rnacentral:rRNA from 1 species
AUUGAACGCUGGCGGCAUGCCUUACACAUGCAAGUCGAACGGUAACAGGUCUUCGGAUGCUGACGAGUGGCGAACGGGGGAGUAAUACAUCGGAACGUGCCUAGUAGUGGGGGAUAACUACUCGAAAGAGUGGCUAACACCGAAUGGGAACUACGGAUGAAAACAGGAGAUAGCAAGCCGUUGUGCUACGAGCACGGCAGAUGUGAGAUUAGGUAGUUGGUGGGAUAAAAGCGUACCAAGCCGACGAUCUGUAGCUGGUCGGAGAGGACGAUCAGCCACACUGGGACUGGGACACGGCCCAGACUCCUACGGGAGGAAGCAGUGGGGAAUGUUGGACAAUGGGCGAAAGCCUGAUCCAGCAAUGCCGCGUGCAGGAUGAAGGCCUUCGGGUUGUAAACUGCUUUUGUACGGAACGAAAAGCCCCGGGUUAAUACCCUGGGGUCAUGACGGUACCGUAAGAAUAAGCACCGGCUAACUACGUGCCAGCCGCCGCGGUAA